rnacentral:rRNA from 1 species
UCAAAGAUUAAGCCAUGCAUGUCUAAGUAUAAACAAUUUUGUACUGUGAAACUGCGAAUGGCUCAUUAUAUCAGUUAUAGUCUACUCGAUAGUACCUUACUACUUGGAUAACCGUAGUAAUUCUAGAGCUAAUACAUGCAUCAAUACCCAACUGCUUGUCGGACGGGUAGCAUUUAUUAGAUUGAAACCAAUGCAGUCUUCGGGCUGGUAUUGUGUUGAGUCAUAAUAACUGUGCGGACC